rnacentral:rRNA from 1 species
ACGAACGCUGGCGGCGUGCUUAACACAUGCAGGUCGAACGGAAAGGCCCUGCUUUUGUGGGGUGCUCGAGUGGCGAACGGGUGAGUAACACGUGAGUAACCUGCCCUUGACUUUGGGAUAACUUCAGGAAACUGGGGCUAAUACCGGAUAGGAGCUCCUGCUGCAUGGUGGGGGUUGGAAAGUUUCGGCGGUUGGGGAUGGACUCGCGGCUUAUCAGCUUGUUGGUGGGGUAGUGGCGUACCAAGGCUUUGACGGGUAGCCGGCCUGAGAGGGUGACCGGCCACAGUGGGACUGGGAUACGGCCCAGACUCCUACGGGAGGCAGCAGUGGGGAAUAUUGCACAAUGGGCGGAAGCCUGAUGCAGCAACGCCGCGUGCGGGAUGACGGCCUUCGGGGUGUAAACCGCGUGCGCCUGUGACGAAGCGUGAGUGACGGUAAUGGGUAAAGAAGCACCGGCUAACUACGUG